UGCGAUCAUACCAAAGACUAAUGCUUUUCCCGAUCCCAUCGUAACUCCGCAGCUUGCGUGCUUGGGCGAGAGUAGUACUAGGAUGGUUGCCCGGGAAGUCCUCGUGUUGCA